UACGUAGGGUGCAAGCGUUGUCCGGAAUUAUUGGGCGUAAAGAGCUCGUAGGCGGUCUGUUGCGUCGGCUGUGAAAACCCGAGGCUCAACCUCGGGCCUGCAGCCGAUACGGGCAGACUAGAGUUCGGCAGGGGAGACUGGAAUUCCUGGUGUAGCGGUGAAAUGCGCAGAUAUCAGGAGGAACACCGGUGGCGAAGGCGGGUCUCUGGGCCGAUACUGACGCUGAGGUGCGAAAGCGUGGGGAGCAAACAGG
rnacentral:rRNA from 1 species